GACGAACGCUGGCGGCGUGCUUAACACAUGCAAGUCGAACGGAAAGGCCCUGCUUUUGUGGGGUGCUCGAGUGGCGCACGGGUGAGUAACACGUGGGUAACCUGCCCUUGACUUUGGGAUAACUUCAGGAAACUGGGGCUAAUACCGGAUAUGAGCUCCUGCUGCAUGUGGGGGGUUGGAAAGUUUCGGCGGUUGGGGGUGGACUCGAGGCUUAUCAGCUUGUUUGUGGGGUAGUUGCUUACCAAGGCUUUGACUGGUAGCCGGCCUGAGAGGGUGACCGGCGACAUUGGGACUGAGAUACGGACCAGAAUCCUACGGGACGCAGUAGUGGGGAAUAUUGCAGAAUGGGCGGAAGCCUGAUGCAGCAACGCCGCGUGCGGGAUGACGGCCUUUGGGGUGUAAACCGAUGUCGACGGUGACGAAGCGUGAGUGACGGUAAUGGGUAAAGAAGCACCGGCUAACUACGUG
rnacentral:rRNA from 1 species